rnacentral:misc_RNA from 1 species
UCUCCGUUGGUGAACCAGCGGAGGGAUCAUUACCGAGUUUACAACUCCCAAACCCCUGUGAACAUACCUAUCGUUGCUUCGGCGGACCACCCCGACCCCUACGGGGCGAGGGGCCCGCCAGAGGACACCCAAAAUUCAAAUGCAUUUUGCCUUGUAAUUUUAUUCUGAGUGGAAUUUUUAAAUAAAUCAAAACUUUCAACAACGGAUCUCUUGGCUCUG